rnacentral:rRNA from 1 species
CGGGGGGAGCAAGCGUUGUUCGGAUUUACUGGGCAUAAAGGGCGCGUAGGCGGCCACCGCAAGUCGACUGUGAAAUCUCCGGGCUUAACCCGGAAAGGUCAGCCGAUACUGCGGGGCUAGAGGUGCAGAAGGGGCAACUGGAAUUCUCGGUGUAGCGGUGAAAUGCGUAGAUAUCGAGAGGAACACCUGCGGCGAAGGCGGGUUGCUGGGCUGACACUGACGCUGAGGCGCGAAAGCUAGGGGAGCGAACGGGAUUAGAUACCCCGGUAGUCCUAGCCUUAAACGAUGAAUGACUUGGUGUCUGGGGUUUUAUAGUCCCCGGGUGCCGUCGCUAAACGCUUUAAGCAUUCCGGCCUGGGGAGUACGGUCGCAAAGACUG